UGACCAGAAAGAGGUUUAAAAUGAAACCCUGUGAAUGGGGUUAGAGAGGGCAUUGCAGUGAGGGGUCCCGGAGGCACCCAAGCGAGUGAUCAGGCGGCACGGGCCGGUUAGGGAAAUCAAGUUUGGGAGCUCGGUCCCCGAAGGGGGCCGGGCUCCAGUGCACAGUCCAUACCUGCUCUCACUUCAGGUGUCCAGGACUCCCCCAGCAUGACCAGAAAGAGGUUUAAAAUGAAACCCUGUGAAUGGGGUUAGAGAGGGCAUUGCAGUGAGGGGUCCCGGAGGCACCCAAGCGAGUGAUCAGGCGGCACGGGCCGGUUAGGGGAAAUCAAGUUUGGGAGCU